rnacentral:tmRNA from 1 species
AUGAGGGUUAACCUAGUAGACGACGCUAUGCAUGUAGAGCCGAAGAUAGAGAGCUGACGGACGGGGGUUCAAUUCCCCCCGCCUCCACCA